GGAUGUGAGGGCGAUCUGGGUGCAACAUCUGUCACACCAUUGAUUACCAGGGUUGAUUUGGCUGAUCUGACUGGCUAGGCAGAUAUCCCCUUCCUCCCUCAUCACUCCAUGUGCAUCCCUCCCAAAGCUUUGCACUCAGUCGAAGAGGAUGACCAUCAAUAGAGGAAGACCAGUCUUCCGUCAAGGGUAUACCAGUAGCUACACUUCCAUACUAGAACAUCCAAACAAGCUCUUAAAAAAAAAUAAUAAAGGAUGACAUGUUAUCACUGUUUGCUCAUGUGCUCUUCCAGUUUGGGCUGAAUCUCAU
rnacentral:snRNA from 1 species